UAUCAAGUUUUUUUGUUGGGACUUAUCUUUUGUUGGGUCAUUUAGGUUCUGGACUCUGAAGUGUGAUCCCUUUAAUCACUCCCUCUCUCUGUCUUCUGAAUCUCUCCCUUUCCGUAAAAAAUAAUUCAUGGAGCUUUGGAUUUCUUCAAUAUGUAUUUGUAUUUGGUUAGAUCACCAUGUGUUUUCAGGUUUUCGUUCUUUACUUGAUGGAGUUUUGUAGGUUUAGAUAGAGCUUUUAGGCUUUUGGAGAAGAAGGAAAAGAUGGAAGGAAAAACUUAGAAGAGAAAAACCGAGUUUGCGUUUUUUUUUUUCUUCCUACUCUCUUCUGGUGAGUUUCUUAUCUUCCUCUUCCUUCGUCAAUCUUCCAAUUUCAGUUCUCUGUCUUGUCGAUUUUGGUGCAGAUUGUGUUCCAGAGAUUUCAUCCAGGCUACAUCUCUAGCUUGAAGCUAGUUUGCUCGAUCAGAUCCGAGGGUUGAUGCAUUUGUGAAGAUUUUUUGGUUGCACAUUUCUAUCUUGUGAGCUACAAGAUGAAGAUGAAUUUCUGUAAAAUAUGCUGAAGAGGCUCACCAAGUCAUGGUGGGGUAGUUUGGAAAGCAUCUCUAGUAAGUUUUUCUAAUUGUGAUUAUCUUUUGUUUUGUUUUGAAUAGGUUCUGAAUAUAAAAUUAGUUCUUGUUGGCUGUGUUUCUUGGUGUUGGUAACUUAACUCAUUUACGAUUAUGUAUGUUUAAUUCAUCUUAGUCUUGCAAGUGUGGACCUUUAUAACGUUUUGCAUAGAUGCUUACAUUCUUUCACGUGUGAAAACCAGCUCGACCAGAGAUGAUACUUACUUGACCUUGAUUGUUACAUGUAUACAACUUAUCCACUUACAUAAAAUGAAUUUUUAUCACAAUUCAACAUUUUACGAGUCCUAAUUUUUUUUAAAAUUAAAAUUAUAAAACAGAAAUGACAAGUGUGUUUCUUUCUUUAAUGUAAAGAAUAAAAAGUACUUCUUAUUUCCUUCCUUUUAUUAUAGAGAUUUCUUUGCAUUAAAACCAUAUCUUUGCGAAAACGUGUUGUGAGGCUCGCUAACGUGCACUGCCUGACUAAAAAGGACCUGAAGAAAGCCUGUCUCUGCGUCGCUGGUGAAGCUUGUCACGCCGGCGGAUGGCUCCCACUAUAGAUUACCAUUGUUAACCUUUGGAAGCUUCCUUCCUUCUCAAUUUCAAUCCAUCCCGGAGAAGACUGAAAGAGGGGAAUCUGACAUAGACUCGCAAAAAUCAAUUCGACUACAUGGAUUUGAGGACUCUAAUGCCUCGCCAACAGCUCGUCGGAUGAAAUUUUCUGAAGCUCCUACCUCAGCCCAUCCUACUCCAACUGAGAAGAUGGAUUUUCAUGAGAAUCGGCUAGCUCAACGAAAAUUGGCAAAUUGAUUUCGAAUUCAACCCUGAUUGCUUGACUACUAUCCCUCUAUGGGUGACCUUUCCUGGGUUGCCAGUGAGAUAUUGGUCUACUGUGGGGGUAACCUCUUUACACUGAUAAGUAUAUAGAUGUUAUGGAACGUAUCUCUUAUGCUAGAGUCCUAGUUAAAACUGAUGUGUCACAACCUCUUAUGGAUUUUAUUGAGAUAACUACUCCCUCAGGCAUCAUAAACCAAGCUGUUGAUUAUGAUUAGCGACCCAAAUUUUGCACUCACUAUAUCAGAUUUGGUCACACUUUAGAGGAUUCUUUGGAUGGGAGGAAGGGAGGUCAAGCAGGAUGAAUAUGAAGAAGUACCUAGAAGAAGAAGUAUGAAGAAGUACCUAGAAGAAGAAGAAGGAGAAACAGGAGAAGAAGAAGAAGACAACCUAGGUAAUAUUGGUUGGCUAGAAAUGGUGCCCCAAUGCCUCAAACAACUGAUGACACCAACCUCCCUACUGAUGUGGAACCACAAGAACCACUAGUACAGGAUAGAGGUAAAGAGAAGUGUCUAGAUGAAGAUCAGCUAUUGUCUCAAGCCACUGAUCAUACACAAGAGCUGCAGGAAGCUAUAGUUCCUACUAGUAAUAAUUCUGAUACACAAGGGUGAACACUUGCUACAACUAUCCAAUGGCACCAAAUGGCAAAGUUUGGCUAUUUUGGAAGCCUCAUUUACAGGUACAUAUCAUACUGAAGGAGGAACAGCUCAUCCAUUGCAAAUUAGAGGACUCAACUACCUCUUUUUCUACUUAUCUUAGUAUUGUUUAUGCCAAGAAUAUAGCUCAGGAGAGGACUAGUCUAUGGUCUAACUUGAGUUGAGCUCUAAUAUACAAGAUACUUGGCUUAUUGCUGGAGGUUUUCACACCAUGUUGUCCUCUGAGGAUAGGUUGGGAUCACUAGUUACACUUCUUUGAAACUCAAGACUUUAGGGACUGUGUUGAUAUUCUUCAGUUCACACCACCAAAGGCAAAAGGGUGGAAUUUCACCUUCUGCAACAAGCAACAGAAUGAUGCAAGAGUAUACUCAAAGAUAGACUAGGCAAUGGACAAUUUUAUUUGGAUGCAAAAUUAUGGGCAAGUGGAAGCUAACUACCUUAAUCCUGGGGCCUCAGAUUAUUCUCCUAUUUUUAUAGAAUAUAGGCCCCAAGUGAACUUGCAUCCUAAGCCUUUCAAACUAUUCAUGAUUGUUAUGAAACAUCCAGACUUCAGAGGGAUCCUUAGCUCUUCAUAGGCUAAAUACUAUAGUGGCACUCACAUGUUUAGGCUGAAUCAAAAGCUAAAGCACUUGAAGGAUAACUUGAGAAAUCUCAACUCUUAUACGGCCUCCUAUGAACAGAAGCUUAGCCGUGUUAGGCAGCUACUUGAGAUUACUCAGGCAAAGCUUUCAUCAGACCCUCUGAACUAGUUAAUUAUUGAAGAAGAAAAGAAGUGGAGUCUAGAAAUGCAUAAAUAGAGUAGUGUAGAGGAAUCAACACUCAAACAAAAAUCUAGAGCAUGCUGGAUUGCAAAUGGAGAUUCAAAUUCCAAGUAUUUUCAUGCUCAAUGUAAACUCAGAGCUAACAGAAAUAAUAUUGCUUCUAUUUAUGAUGAAGCUGGUGCCGAGCUUACUGACCCUA